GCGGUAUUACGGUAAGCGAAAGGCUGCGGCGCCUCCGUGUCCGACAGAGCCGGUGUUUUACUGGAGGACGCUGCGCCGAACAGGUUUCAGAUGCUAUCCUCUCCGCUGGGACACAGGCAUCAUUUCAGGUAGCCAGGGACAACCGUGAGCAUUCAUCACUUGGCUUUUACUAUUCCUCUGGGAGCCUCAUUACAACGUGGUGACAUUUGGGGGCGACUUCGAUUCUUUGGAUCCAACUUGACUCCUCAUCCAAAGUCCUUGACCCCCUAAA